rnacentral:snRNA from 1 species
UCACUCUUGUUCCACUUCAAAUCGUAUAAAUCUUUCGCCUUUUACUAAAGAUUUCCGUGGAGUGAAACAAUAAGAGUUUUACUCAAUUUUUUGAUGCCCUGGGAAAGCAGGGCU